rnacentral:rRNA from 1 species
CUACGUGCCAGCAGCCGCGGUAAUACGUAGGGCGCGAGCGUUGUCCGGAAUUAUUGGGCGUAAAGGGCUUGUAGGCGGUUGGUCGCGUCUGCCGUGAAAUUCUCUGGCUUAACUGGGGGCGUGCGGUGGGUACGGGCCGGCUUGAGUGCGGUAGGGGAGGCUGGAAUUCCUGGUGUAGCGGUGGAAUGCGCAGAUAUCAGGAGGAACACCGGUGGCGAAGGCGGGUCUCUGGGCCGUGUACUGACGCUGAGGAGCGAAAGCGUGGGGAGCGAACAGGAUUAGAUACCCUGGUAGUCCAUGCUGUAAACGUUGGGCACUAGGUGUGGGGGGUCUUUCCGGGUCUUCCGCGCCGUAGCUAACGCAUUAAGUGCCCCGCCUGGGGAGUACGGCCGCAAGGCUAAAACUCAAAGGAAUUGACGGGGGCCCGCACAAGCGGCGGAGCAUGCGGAUUAAUUCGAUGCAACGCGAAGAACCUUACCAAGGCUUGACAU